rnacentral:rRNA from 1 species
AACGAACGCUGGCGGCAUGCCUAACACAUGCAAGUCGAACGAGACCUUCGGGUCUAGUGGCGCACGGGUGCGUAACGCGUGGGAACCUGCCCUUAGGUUCGGAAUAACUCCCCGAAAGGGGUGCUAAUACCGGAUAAUGUCUUCGGACCAAAGAUUUAUCGCCUUUGGAUGGGCCCGCGUUGGAUUAGCUAGUUGGUAGGGUAAAAGCCUACCAAGGCGACGAUCCAUAGCUGGUCUGAGAGGCUGAUCAGCCACACUGGGACUGAGACACGGCCCAGACUCCUACGGGAGGCAGCAGUGGGGAAUAUUGGACAAUGGGCGAAAGCCUGAUCCAGCAAUGCCGGGUGAGUGAUGAAGGCCUUAGGGUUGUAAAGCUCUUUUACCCGGGAUGAUAAUGACAGUACCGGGAGAAUAAGCUCCGGCUAACUCCGUG